AGUUUAAAAAGCUAAAGUGUUUGU
rnacentral:snRNA from 1 species